AUCAAUAUCUACUCACUGAUUGACAAGGAGUUACUACGGUGGCUGAAUGGAGAAGGAUCGCUGACCCUGAUCACCUAAAUAAAUUAUAUUAUAAUUUAAUCAGUACUAUUUCAAAAUAAGACUCUAAAGAGACAAAAGACAGGCUAAUUUAUGCUGAAAAUCUGGCAGAAUUUCUCCUGCACUUAGGACAUACUCAACCUACAAGAUAGUUCAAAUAAUACUUCUAAAUCACAAUUCCCACAUCUACAUCCCAUCAACAUCACAUGGCCUUUCCUGAGCCCUCCAAACAGGUAAUUCUCACAAAAUUAAAAAAUUACUUUUUAGUCUCUAAAACUAUUAUUCUACAAAAAUCACUCAAACGAGCUUUAAAAAUUAUAAAAUUUUGUCCUGCGGUCAUUAACAAGGUUAUAAGUUGCAACAAGAAUCAUAAUUUUCUAAUCACCUAUGAAUAUUUUAUGAAUUUUCUUCUAAAUAAGGUAUUAAGCAAAAAUGAAUAACUUGUACUUUGGGUUUACCUUUUACUAACAGGCUCUUCCAAAAUUGAUUCUAGUCAUACUUACUGCCAUAACUCUUGUCCUUGUACUUCUCAGUGACUUGUGACUAUCACUCAUACAUAUAUCUUCCGGCUCUAUCUCCUACUGUCGUUCUGUCACUUAUUUUCAUUCAUGUUUCUUUAUAAAGUGACCCUGUAGGUCAUACUGAAAAUGCUUACCUAACCCUUGAUCGUAGACCCCAUAACUUCUAUCUUACCUUCUCUACUCAAGACCUAAGCCUAUGUGCCAUUUUCCACCAUUCUUUUUGUUCGUCAUGCCUAUUUGAACCAUUAAGUUUUCUUUUAUUUAACUUGCUACUUAUUAAUUUACUCCUUUGCCUAAUAGGACAGUUCAAGACACUAUUGCACAUCCUAUAACCUUUGCGUGCUCUGGUUGCAUUCCUCAACUAACUUUCCUCACAUUAUUAGAAGUUUAAAUGGAUCUUAUCCUAGUGCUACCUACUCCAUCUUGGGAACAGGAAUAGACAAAGUUUUAUCCAUAUCUUGCAACUCUGAACUCUAUGUUUUGGCUCCUGACACUGCCCGAACUAUGACUUGCUCCAAGUCCUAUACUUCUAGAUC
rnacentral:misc_RNA from 1 species